rnacentral:rRNA from 1 species
UCCAGACUCCUACGGGAGGCAGCAGUGGGGGAUAUUGCACAAUGGGGGGAACCCUGAUGCAGCGACGCCGCGUGGGUGAAGGAGCGUUUCGGCGCGUAAAGCCCGCUCGGCAGGGAAGAAGGAGGACGGUACCUGACUAAGAAGCCCCGGCUAACUACGUGCCAGCAGCCGCGGCAAUACGUAGGGGGCAAGCGUUAUCCGGAUUUUCUGGGUGUAAAGGGAGCGUAGACGGAAAGGCAAGUCAGAAGUGAAAACCCGAGGCUCAACCAUGGGACUGCUUUUGAACCUGUCAACCUAGAGUACGGGAGAGGUAAGAGGAAUUCCUAGUGUAGCGGUGAAAUGCGUAGAUAUUAGGAGGAGCCCCAGUGGCGAAGGCGGCCUGCUGGACUGCGACUGACGUUGAGGCCCGAAAGCGUGGGGAGCAAACAGGAUUAGAUACCCUAGUAUC